ensembl:lncRNA
GAAAUAAUUAGUAGCUAUUUACGGCUCAUAGUUUCAAAUUAAGGUUAAAUCACUCUGACAGUAUUGCUAAUAUAUAUAAACAAUAUUUUAUAUUUUAGAAGGCUUAGAAGUCAAAUUGUCCAGAAGGAAGGACUGCAAACUUUUCAAGAACAUAAUUCUGGGAAUGAAUAAGGAAGCUGUUGGUAAAAUGGGAUCUUUUGGAGCAUUGUACAACAUGAAGAAAACAACACAAUAUGGAACAACUUCGUAGAACAGCCUGAUCUUGACACUAUAAUGUUCCAGUUCUGUAAAAUCAUCCAUCUUCUGCUGAGAGCACCAUCAAACCACUAGCGAAUGCCACAUUAGUCACUGAAGUUAAUACUGGCAGCUUUUGACUUCAGUUUUUUUGCAUACAUAAAAGAAG